GAAAUAUGUAGUUCAAGAGAAAGCUGCUAACUUUCUUCUUUAAUGGUUUGAUUCCAUUUAUAUUUCU
rnacentral:tRNA from 1 species